GAUGAACGCUGACAGAAUGCUUAACACAUGCAAGUCAACUUGAAUUUGGGUUUUUAACUUAGAUUUGGGUGGCGGACGGGUGAGUAACGCGUAAAGAACUUGCCUCACAGCUAGGGACAACAUUUAGAAAUGAAUGCUAAUACCUGAUAUUAUGGUUAUAGGGCGUCCUAUAAUUAUGAAAGCUAUAUGCACUGUGAGAGAGCUUUGCGUCCCAUUAGCUAGUUGGAGAGGUAACAGCUCACCAAGGCGAUGAUGGGUAGCCGGCCUGAGAGGGUGAACGGCCACAAGGGGACUGAGACACGGCCCUUACUCCUACGGGAGGCAGCAGUGGGGAAUAUUGGACAAUGGACCGAGAGUCUGAUCCAGCAAUUCUGUGUGCACGAUGAAGUUUUUCGGAAUGUAAAGUGCUUUCAGUUGGGAAGAAAAAAAUGACGGUACCAACAGAAGAAGUGACGGCUAAAUACGUGCCAGCAGCCGCGGUAAUACGUAUGUCACGAGCGUUAUCCGGAUUUAUUGGGCGUAAAGCGCGUCUAGGUGGUUAUGUAAGUCUGAUGUGAAAAUGCAGGGCUCAACUCUGUAUUGCGUUGGAAACUGUAUAACUAGAGUACUGGAGAGGUAAGCGGAACUACAAGUGUAGAGGUGAAAUUCGUAGAUAUUUGUAGGAAUGCCGAUGGGGAAGCCAGCUUACUGGACAGAUACUGACGCUUAAGCGCGAAAGCGUGGGUAGCAAUCAG
rnacentral:rRNA from 1 species